ACGGAAGGCAGCAGUGGGGAAUAUUGGACAAUGGGGGAAACCCUGAUCCAGCGACGCCGCGUGAGUGAAGAAGUAUUUCGGUAUGUAAAGCUCUAUCAGCAAGGAAGAAAAUGACGGUACUUGACUAAGAAGCUCCGGCUAAAUACGUGCCAGCAGCCGCGGUAAUACGUCUGGAGCAAGCGUUAUCCGGAUUUACUGGGUGUAAAGGGAGCGUGGACGGCAAAGCAAGUCUGAAGUGAAAUCCCGGGGCUCAACCCCGGAACUGCUUUGGAAACUGUUUAGCUAGAGUGCAGGAGAGGUAAGCGGAAUUCCUAGUGUAGCGGUGAAAUGCGUAGAUAUUAGGAGGAACACCAGUGGCGAAGGCGGCUUACUGGACUGUAACUGACGUUGAGGCUCGAAAGCGUGGGGAGCAAACAGGAUUAGAUACCCUGGUA
rnacentral:rRNA from 1 species